rnacentral:lncRNA from 1 species
AAUCAAGUCUCUGCUAAGAUCAUUAACAACGUGUUUGUACGUUUUCAGUGUUGGCCGUCGUAAGGAGACCUCAGGCUUUUCGCUCGUGUGGGGUGGCAGCACUGGUGGCAGAGGAGACACCCUCAGAAGAUCUCUCUCAUGCUGUCUGGGGCUGCAGGAGGAGAUGCCUCUCACUUGGCAGCUGGCCUCAUCCCAGCCAAGUCAGGAGCAGUAAAAUCUCCGGAUGAUUUCAGCUGGCCGGAGGGUCAGGAGGCUGAGGCCGGAUGGCUGGAUGCUGCAGUGCUCCAGGGGGAGCAGCGCCCACUCGGAGAAGCCUUUCAGGCUUGAAAAUCAUCCAACUGGAAUGAAGAGACGGCAACGGGGUCACGGAAUAGACGCAGGGAUCAGUAUCAUGGCAGAAGGUGGGAGCCUGACCACCAAGUGCAUUAGUUUUCCCAGAAGUUUCCGACUCGGUGAGUAUUCAAUCAAUAUGCUAAGGCUGAGCUUUAAGCAGUAGUUGGAUGAGGUCUAAUCCAUACAUCUGGAAACAGCCUGUGUAUCACAGAGAAUCCGUGCAGAGGGGGCUGCUCUUAUAUUUGUCCCAUAUGUUUGCUUUUAUUUGAUUUUGUAUUUGGGUGGGAAAGGGAAAGAGGAAAUUCUCUGACAUUUUCACAUGCCUUUUUUUUUAAGUGACUCUGAGAAACAAUUCAAACAUCUUGUCUAUUCAAAUGAGAGGCUGUAAAGCGACCUGACAGCUUUUGUGGAUGCAGUCUUGGGUAGGAAGUACCACAUUCCCAUCUCUAAGAACCACUCCUGCUAUAAUCCUGCCAGCAUCCUUGGAGGUAGAUACCAAAGGCAC